rnacentral:rRNA from 1 species
CAUAGCGACUAUCGUGGCAUAUCAAUAAGCGGAGGAAAAGAAACUAACAAGGAUUCCCUUAGUAACGGCGAGUGAAGCGGGAAGAGCUCAAAUUUGAAAUCUUAAAGGGUUUCCCUUUACGAAUUGUAGUUUAAAGAAGUGUUUUCUGUUGGAGUUUCGGUAAAAGUUCUUUGGAAUAGGACAUCAUAGAGGGUGAGAAUCCCGUAUUUGACCGUUACUUUCCAGCUGUGUGAUACACUUUCAAAGAGUCGGAUUGUUUGGGAAUGCAGUCCAAAGAUGGGUGGUAAAUUUCAUCUAAAGCUAAAUAUUGGCGAGAGACCGAUAGCGAACAAGUACCGUGAGGGAAAGAUGAAAAGAACUUUGAAAAGAGAGUUAAACAGUACGUGAAAUUGUCAAAAGGGAAGCGUUUGACACCAGUGUUGUUUAGUUGAAAAUCAAUUCAAUAAUUUUUGAUUCUGAGUAGUAUUGACUUCAUCAGCUUGCUGCUUUCUUCUCGAGAAAUUAUUGAAUGCACUUUUCAGUUAACAAGUCAACAUCAAUUUCUUUUGUUGUAAAAGGGUAAGAGGAAGGUGGCUUACGCUUCGGCGUCAAGUGUUUAUAGCCUUUUACCUCUGCAAUCGGAGAGAUUGAGGUACAUGCAGCGUAGACUCCUUCGGGGUUAGAUACACUUGUGCUAAGCUAUAGCCUUGUAUAGACAACUUGUUGACUAUGCUCAGUCAUGUAGCUUACUCGCUGAUGCUAUUUUACCUACGCUUAGGAUGUUGACGAGACUGUCGAUCUC